GAAAGCAAGAAUUAGAGUUUGAGUUUCUUUCUAGAUCAAACUCAAAGAACAAAUUUAACAAAGUGAACUUAAGUUUGAGGGUGAAAGCAACCAGAUAUCAAUUAGAGAUCUACAUCCGAGGAAUUAAAAAACCCCAAAAAUAGUUCACUUCAAAGUUCGAACAACAUAAAAUAGAGUGAAUUUCAAGCCAAGAUAUUGAUGAAUGCAAUACGAGUGUACAUAACCGUAAUAUUGAAAGACCAGAUGUAUUUGCAUGAAUAUGGAAGGAAGAUUCAAUUGUUCGUGCAAACAGGGAUAUCAUUCUGAACUCAGAUAUAAUAUCAGACAAGAUUGUUGUCGGGACCAGCCUAGGCUUCUCUCUUUUACUUGGGAAGAAUUGGACUUUAUGUCCACCAAAGAAGUUAGCAGUGUGGAUAUGAUUAUUCAUACAAACUGUUUUCAUACAGUUUGCUUCAUCGAUUCUAUUUUAAGAUUAAUGUUAAAAUACCCUUAUGAGGGGCUCAGAUAUACUGUUGAUCUAAACAAUUGAUUCCACGGGGAAACCAAACUUCAGCUCUGCAACUAAAGUCUUAAGAAAGUACAUAACCCAUGAAUCCAAAUUUCAUCUCUGUUA